UCCCGGACGCCUCCCCGCCCUCCAUCUACCUGCUGGCCCCGCCCACCGAGCAGCUCCGCCUCCACACCUGGGCCACCCUCACCUGCCUGGUGCGCGACUUCAACCCGCCCGACCUCCUCGUCCAAUGGCUGCAGGACGGCCGGCCCCUCCCGCCGGGCCGCGCCCUCACCUUCCGGCCGCGCCCCGACAACGGCCACGCCCCCGGAGGCCACGCCCACCUGGCCGUCAGCACCUUGACGGUGCCGGCGCGGGAUUGGGAGGGCGGCGGCGUCUUCACCUGCCUGGUGGGGCACGAGCGGCUGCCGCUGCGGCUGGCGCAGAGGUCGCUGGACAAGGCUGCCGGUAAACCCGCCAACGUCAACGUUUCCCUCAUUUUUAGCGACGCCCUGAGUGGUUGUUACUGAAAUUCCGGUUUUUUUCCCCAAAA